AUGAGAAAUCACAUACAAAACUGGAUUUUAAAUGCAUAGAAAGUGUUGAGUUGUUUCUGGACAUUCAUCAAUAUCUGCGUAUAUAAAGGAAAGCUUUGGGAAUUUGUUGCUCAAUCUAUAGAAUGCAGGGACAAUUUAGCUGCAAACUCGACACCUGAAAACAGUAAAAAAAACACAUCACUGACACUAUCCAAAACACAAUUUCUCCUAUGAUGUUCAAUUCCAUUCAUUCAAAUCUAAACAAACUAAAUUUCAAAACAUCAUAAACUAUAUGGUUCAAAUCAGUAGAGUCAGAUAUUCUAAGAGUCCCAACAUCAAACACCUGGUGUUCACAGAAAUACAAUUCCACAACAUUAUUGUAAUCCCAAACCCAACCAUCCCCAUCACAGUAACAGUAUUCCUUAAUAUCAAAAUAGCAACAACAACAACCACAACAACUUUAGCAUUCCCCAAAACUUGCAGCGUCAAAGCACUCGUAUGU